GUUUAACAAAAACAUGUCUUUUUGAUUAUAAUUUAAAGUCUGGCCUGCCCAAUGAAUAAUUUUAAUGGCCGCGGUAUAUUGACUGUGCAAAGGUAGCAUAAUCAUUAGUUUUUUAAUUGAAAGCUGGAAUGAAAGGUUGGAUGAAAAAAUAACUGUCUCUAUCUAAAUUAAUUAGAAUUUUAUUUUUAAGUAAAAAAGCUUAAAUAAUAAUAAAAGACGAGAAGACCCUAUAGAGUUUUAUAUUUUUUUAAAAAUAUAAUUUUUAGAAUUUUGAUUUUAAAUUUUUAAAAAAUAUUUAAUUGGGGUGAUUGAAAAAUUAAAUAAACUUUUUUAUAUUUUUACAUUUAUUUAUGAAAAUAUGAUCCUUAAAUUGAGAUUAUAAGAUAAAAUUACCUUAGGGAUAACAGCGUAAUUUUUUUUAAGAGUUCUAAUCGAAAAAAAAGAUUGCGACCUCGAUGUUGGAUUAAAA
rnacentral:rRNA from 1 species